GUCUGCGGGUGGGUGUUUAGAUAGCGCCAUCCGUUGCGUCGUUUAGAGUCCACCAACAGGUGAUGUCCUAGGGCACUUGUCUUUUUCCUUUCUGGCUUCCUUCGCUUAGCCUGAGGGUCUCUCGUUCCAGCCCCGCGGCGGCAGAUGGCACUCGUUCUGCCGCUUUUUCCUGGCUGUGUGCGAUGCCAUCGCAUAGAUGUCCCCGGGUCUGCGAAGUGCACUCACCUGUCAGUGGACCUUUAGGUGGCUUCCAGAUCUUGGCUCUGCCCCGCGGCGGCAGAUGGCACUCGUUCUGCCGCUUUUUCCUGGCUGUGUGCGAUGCCAUCGCAUGAUGUCCCCGGCCUGCGAAGUGCACUCACCUGUCAGUGGACCUUUAGGUGGCUUCCAGAUCUUGGCUCUGGUGAGUAGUGCGGCGACAGACAGAGGGGUGCCGGGUCUGCUUCC
rnacentral:lncRNA from 1 species